CCCAAAGCACCACUCCCAUGGCCAGCAAUGCCACCAGCACCACUGCAGUACAGGUUUCUCACAACUCCACAGCAGAAAGGACAACGACAGCUGGCACCACGAUGGCAACAGUGCGCAGUACAACCGCACAUGUUACCCCCCUUGUAACUACAGCCGCUUCUACCACCCGCACCACCGCGGCACCCGAGACCAGCGAGACGGCCCACGCUACCAUGUCGCCCUCUGGAACCACAACAGCUAGGAUGACAACUGCGCAGGGCACCGCUGCACCAGCCCAGAACGCAACAACCAGUUGUGACUUCUGAAACAAGUGUUUUACCCUGGCCCCCGAGCACUCCCGCCAGCACGGCGCUGCAGUCACCCCCUGCGCUGCCCACCUGCCCGCCUCUGCCUGACAACGUUGUCGUGAAUCACCUCUUGCUGUCACUGGACGUAAACACUUCGCUCAACCUCACCGACCCUGCCGUCAGGGGCCUGAUUUUGUCGAAGCUUCUCCAGGAUCUGAAGAGCAAUUUCCCCUGCGCCAACUUCACCCUGCAGUGGAGGGGGGAAACGAAGGUGUGACGUGGACCUGUCGACCGGCAGCUGGGGCAAAGCCCUUGGGAUGAGAGCAGGGGGUUUUCCUGCUGCUGGUGCCUGGGCCUGGAAGCAGAGCCCCCCUGCCGGGCGUGGAGGCCCCUCGGAGGAGACCCUCUGCAUCUGUCAGCCCCAGGGCCGCAAACCUGUGUGUCCCCAAAAGCAAGCCCUGUAGGAGACUCCCCAGAGCCGGGACCGGCAGCAACAUCUGGCUGCUGCCUUAAGGGCAACGGUGGGGGAAGAGAGAAACCCAGCCAGUCUGGGCAGAGCGGGGCUUGAACCCCAGACUCGCCCACCGCAGGCAAGUGCGCUGAUUCCUGGGGUCCUGCCUGCUCCCUGGAGGCUGCUCCUUGAUCUCUGAGCCCCUGAGAUCGUGCAUGAAGCUGCAUCCUCGUUCUCCCACUGCGAGGUGCAGCCCCAAGAGAGGACGCUGACCGCUCCUUUGCGGGUCUGCCCGCGGCUGCGUCCCUGGCUACAAAAGAGAGGCCAGAUCCUGCCUUCCCCUGAGCAGAGAGGGGGGGCUUCUGGCCAAAGGGCAUUUCUGGCCAGGGUUAGGUUGUCUAGUGCAGGUAAAACAGCACAAGAAAACCAGACCUGGGUUCUCAUGGGGGACCAGAGGUGCCAGCCUUAUGGGACGCAGUCCUUGCUCCGCUGCAUGUUCAUUUAUAUGCUUCAGCCCUCAGAUAAAUUCCUGACUAGCUGGUCUG